GACGAACGCUGGCGGCGCGCUUAACACAUGCAAGUCGAGCGAUGAAACUUUAACAGAACCCUUCGGGGCGAAGAUAAAGUGGAUUAGCGGCGGACGGGUGAGUAACACGUGAGUAACCUGCCUUAGACAUUGGGAUAGCCUCGGGAAACCGGGAUUAAUACCAAAUAAAAUCAUAAUGACACAUGUCAUAACGAUCAAAACUCCGGUGGUCUAAGAUGGACUCGCGUCCCAUUAGCUAGUUGGUAGAGUAAAAGCCUACCAAGGCGACGAUGGGUAGCCGGCCUGGGAGGGGGAACGGCCCAAUGGGAACCGAAAAACGGUCCAAACCCCUACGGGGGGCCGCAGUGGGGAAAUUUGAACAAUGGGGGGAACUCUGAUGCCGCGCCGCCGGGUGAAAAAAGAAGGCUUUCGAGUCAAAAAGUUUUUUUAUAGGGGAAGAUAAUGGCGGUACCAAAAAAAAAACCCCCGGCAAACUACGU
rnacentral:rRNA from 1 species